rnacentral:rRNA from 1 species
UACGUAGGGUGCGAGCGUUGUCCGGAAUUAUUGGGCGUAAAGAGCUCGUAGGCGGUCUGUCGCGUCUGCUGUGAAAUCCCGAGGCUCAACCUCGGGCUUGCAGUGGGUACGGGCAGGCUAGAGUGCGGUAGGGGAGAAUGGAACUCCUGGUGUAGCGGUGGAAUGCGCAGAUAUCAGGAGGAACACCGGUGGCGAAGGCGGGUCUCUGGGCCGAUAUUGACGCUGAGGAGCGAAAGCGUGGGGAGCGAACAGG